ensembl:lncRNA
GUCUCCCAGUCCCUGCUGCUGAAAAACAUCUCCACCGCAUGAUGUUGCCACCACCAUGUUUCACCGUAGGGAUGGUGCCAGGUUUCCUCCAGAUGUGACGCUUGGCAUUCAGAGUUCAAUCUGGGUUUCAUCAGACCAGAGAAUCUUGUUUCUCAUGGUCUGAGAGUCCUUUAGGUGCCCUUUGGCAAACUCCAAGCGGGCUGUCAUGUGCCUUUUACUGAGGAAUGGCUUCCGUCUGGCCACUCUACCAUAAAGUCUUGAUUGGUGGAGAGCUGCAGAGAUGGUUAUGAUUCUUCUGGAAGGUUCUACAAUCUCCACAAAGGAACUCUGGAGCUCUGUCGGAGUGACCAUCGGUUUCUUCGUCACCUCCCUGACCAAGGCCUUCUCCCCCGAUUGCUCAGUUUGGCUGUGCGACCAGCUCUAGGAAAAGUUUUGGUGGUUCCAAACUUCUUUCAUUGAAGAAUGAUUGAGGCCACUGUGUUCUUGGGGACCUUCAAUGAUACAGAAGUGUUUUGGUACCCUUCCCCAGAUCUGUGCCUUGAUACAAUAUGUCUCGGAGCUCUACAGAAAAUUCCUUUGACAUCAUGGCUUGGUUUUUGGUCUGACAUGCACUGUCAACUGUGGGACCUUAUAUAGAUAGGUGUGUGCCUUUCCAAAUCAUGUCCAAUCAAUUGAAUUUACUACAGGUGGACUCCAAUUACGUUGUAGAAACAUCUCAAGGAUGAUCAAUGGAAAGGAUGCACCUGAGCUCAAUUUCGAGUCUCAUAGCAAAAUGUCUGAAUACUUAUGUAAAUAAGCACCGUUCGGGGCAUGGUGUUUCAGUCACAGAAGGACAAAGCUGGGGGAGGCGUUACUCCGCCCCAACGCCCCCAGGUGAGGCAGGACUGAGGUGACGUGAUGGAUGGCAGACAGAUAGAUUGCUCUAUCCCAUCAUGCACCUGACCUGCGUCUCUGACUGACCGACUGAGUCAGGUACAGCAGACUUCCUCCAAUGUGUACAUUCCAUGUCAUACACACCCUGUCACGAACCGCACGCACCCACACAACACAUUAGCGGUCAGUUCCAGUAAGGAUUUAGAAGGCAAAAACCUUACCAUGCAGUUAUCUUUUUUUUUUUUUAAAGGCUAUACCAGAUACUGUUCAUCCUGACCAGAAGGGUUUUUAACCUGGAC